AUGAAGUUGGAAUCGCUAGUAAUCGCGGAUCAGCAUGCCGCGGUGAAUACGUUCCCGGGCCUUGUACACACCGCCCGUCACACCAUGAGAGUCGGGAACACCCGAAGUCCGUAGCCUAACCGCAAGGGGGCGCGGCCGAAGGUGGGUUCGAUAAUUGGGUGAAGUCGUAACAAGGUAAC
rnacentral:rRNA from 1 species